CUACCCAUAACAGAAUUUCCAGCUCAACAACUAACCAUACAGCAUAACAGAAUUUCAACCAACAUUCUAACUAACCAACAACUUGUAACUAACUCUAACCAAACUCCAACUAACUUUCUAACCUCCCAAUCGCCUCUAACAAACUUCCAGCGGAAGAGAAUAGAUAACAAAAUUCAGAAGGAAAGGGGGAAGAAGGUUCAUUCACAUCUCAGAGAUUCAUUAUUCCCACUGAUACAAACGCCUAUCAUUAUUCACGUUCACAAUAAAAAAAGCCAGAAAAAAAUAUCUGAGAAAAUGACCAUAGAAAAAGUCACUUCUCUCUGA